CAGGAACUUCAGUGUACAUAUAUAGAAGGAUCAAAGUAAAACUUCUUUUACAUAUACUUUUCUAAAGAUUCAUAAUUUUAAGACUCCAGUAUUAUUUCUUUAAAACCUUCUCGUGUAUCAUAUUCCUUCCCUUCCUAGUUAAAAAAAAUAAAAAUACGUCCCUCUCCCCUCCCCCAAUAAACCCCAAAACUGCCCAGCUGGAUCAUUGCAUAGGAUCUCAAAUUCCACUCAUCUGUGAUGUAGUUCUGCUUGGGGUCCAGUUUUCCCCUUUUCUUCCUGACCUGACAACAGCAGUGUAUUUUCUGUCUGCCUGAAGAUCACUGGAGAAGUGCCAGUCAUAAUCUUCCCCUUAUUGAUUCUGGUCAGCAGCUAUUGACAGCUUUAAAAAGAUUAUGUUUUAAUUGGGGAUCAGAUAGAUGGCAUUUUAAGAGUAGUCAAAGCUAUCUUGCAGUAUUUGGAACAAAUCUCAAGCAAUAAUUUCAGGCUCAAGACAGACAAAACUACAGCCUCCCUGAAAACUUCGGCAUUUGUGGAACCAGCUCUGUGUCCCAUCCCCUUGGCAGCCUGUCACAGCUCAGAGGACAUCUGAAGGCUACUGAGAAUCAGAAGAAUACUCUUACAUCCUAAGAAUUCUUCGCUUCUGCAAUA